rnacentral:rRNA from 1 species
CAUCUAAGUACCCCGAGGAAAAGAAAUCAACCGAGAUUCCCCCAGUAGCGGCGAGCGAACGGGGAGCAGCCCAGAGUCUGAAUCAGCUUGUGUGUUAGUGGAACGGUCUGGAAAGUCCGACGGUACAGGGUGAUAGUCCCGUACACCAAAAUGCACAGGUUGUGAACUCGAAGAGUAGGGCGGGACACGUGGUAUCCUGUCUGAAUAUGGGGGGACCAUCCUCCAAGGCUAAAUACUCCUGACUGACCGAUAGUGAACCAGUACCGUGAGGGAAAGGCGAAAAGAACCCCGGCGAGGGGAGUGAAAAAGAACCUGAAACCGUG